rnacentral:rRNA from 1 species
UGAGGAACAUGACCUUCGGCGGGGGAUAGCCGGCCCAACGGCCGGGUAAUACCGCGUACGACCACUUUGGGACAUCCCUCGGUGGUGAAAGCAGCAAUGCGCCGAUGGAGUGCCUCGCGGCCUAUCAGCUAGUUGGUGGGGUAAUGGCUCACCAAGGCGACGACGGGUAGCUGGUCUGAGAGGAUGGCCGGCCACACUGGGACUGAGACACGGCCCAGACCUCCUACGGGGAGGNAG